UGGGGAAUAUUGCGCAAUGGGCGAAAGCCUGACGCAGCGACGCCGCGUGAGGGAAGAAGGCCUUCGGGUCGUAAACCUCUGUCUAGAGGGAAGAAACCAUUGAGGUCGAAUAGGCCUCUUUGCUGACGGUACCUCUGAAGGAAGCACCGGCUAACUCCGUGCCAGCAGCCGCGGUAAUACGGAGGGUGCGAGCGUUAAUCGGAAUCACUGGGCGUAAAGCGCACGUAGGCGGUGUCGUAAGUCGGAUGUGAAAGCCCUCGGCUCAACCGGGGAACUGCAUUCGAUACUGCGAUGCUUGAGUGCCGGAGAGGGUGGCGGAAUUCCGAGGUGUAGGAGUGAAAUCCGUAGAUAUCUGGAGGAACACCAGUGGCGAAGGCGGCCACCUGGCCGGCAACUGAC
rnacentral:rRNA from 1 species